UCCUCGGAAGUACAGUGGUUAGUACACUCGCCUGUCAAGAGGGAGACCGGGGUUCAAUUCCUCGUCGGGGUG
rnacentral:tRNA from 1 species